rnacentral:rRNA from 1 species
UAACGGCUCACCAAGGCUACGAUGUCUAGGGGGUCUGAGAGGAUGAUCCCCCACACUGGUACUGAGACACGGACCAGACUCCUACGGGAGGCAGCAGUGAGGAAUAUUGGGCAAUGGGCGCAAGUCUGACCCAGCCAUGCCGCGUGCAGGAUUGAAGGCCCUAUGGGUUGUAAACUGCUUUUGUACGGGAAGAAACCCCUGCUCGUGAGCAGGGCUGACGGUACCGUAAGAAUAAGCAUCGGCUAACUCCGUGCCAGCAGCCGCGGUAAUACGGAGGACGCAAGCGUUAUCCGGAUUUAUUGGGUUUAAAGGGUGCGUAGGCGGACUAAUAAGUCAGUGGUGAAAUCUUGCGGCUCAACCGUAAUAUUGCCAUUGAUACUGUUAGUCUUGAAUGCAGUUGAGGUAGGCGGAAUGUGUAAUGUAGCGGUGAAAUGCUUAGAUAUUACACAGAACACCGAUUGCGAAGGCAGCUUGCUAAACUGUGAUUGACGCUGAUGCACGAAAGCGUGGGGAUCAAACAGGAUUAGAUACCCUGGUAGUCCACGCUGUAAACGAUGAUCACUCGUUGUUUGCGAUAUAUUGCAAGCGACUGAGCGAAAGCAUUAAGUGAUCCACCUGGGGAGUACGUUCGCAAGAAUGAAACUCAAAGGAAUUGACGGGGGCCCGCACAAGCGGAGGAACAUGUGGUUUAAUUCGAUGAUACGCGAGGAACCUUACCUGGGUUUAAAUGUAGGUUGCAUGGGGGGGAAACUUCCCUUUCCUUCGGGACUACUUACAGUGCUGCAUGUUGUCGUCAGCUCGUGCCG